CCCGCACAAGCGGUGGAGCAUGUGUUUAAUCGAAGCAACGCGAAGUAACCUUACCAGGUCUUGACAUCCCGAUGCUAUUUCUAGAGAUAGAAAGUUACUUCGGUACAUCGGUGACAGGUGGUGCAUGGUUGUCGUCAGCUCGUGUCGUGAGAUGUUGGGUUAAGUCCCGCAACGAGCGCAACCCCUAUUGUUAGUUGCCAUCAUUCAGUUGGGCACUCUAGCGAGACUGCCGGUAAUAAACCGGAGGAAGGUGGGAUGACGUCAAAUCAUCAUGCCCCUUAUGACCUGGGCUACACACGUGCUACAAUGGUUGGUACAACGAGUUGCGAGUCGGUGACGGCGAGCUAAUCUCUUAAAGCCAAUCUCAGUUCGGAUUGUAGGCUGCAACUCGCCUACAUGAAGUCGGAAUCGCUAGUAAUCGCGGAUCAGCACGCCGCGGUGAAUACGUUCCCGGGCCUU
rnacentral:rRNA from 1 species